rnacentral:rRNA from 1 species
UACGUAGGGCGCAAGCGUUAUCCGGAAUUAUUGGGCGUAAAGAGCUCGUAGGUGGUUUGUUGCGUCUGCCGUGAAAGUCCGGGGCUCAACUCCGGAUCUGCGGUGGGUACGGGCAGACUAGAGUGAUGUAGGGGAGACUGGAAUUCCUGGUGUAGCGGUGAAAUGCGCAGAUAUCAGGAGGAACACCGAUGGCGAAGGCAGGUCUCUGGGCAUUAACUGACGCUGAGGAGCGAAAGCAUGGGGAGCGAACAGG